rnacentral:rRNA from 1 species
CAAUAGCGUAUAUUUAAGUUGUUGCAGUUAAAAAGCUCGUAGUUGGAUUUCGGAUGGGACUUGCCGGUCCGUCGUUUCGAUGUGCACUGGCCAGUCCUAUCUUGUUGUCGGGGACUAGCUCCUGGGCUUCACUGUCCGGGACUAGGAGCUGACGAGGUUACUUUGAGUAAAUUAGAGUGUUCAAAGCGAGCCUACGCUCUGAAUACAUUAGCAUGGAAUAACACGAUAGGACUCUGGCUUAUCUUGUUGGUCUGUGAGACCAGAGUAAUGAUUAAGAGGGACAGUCGGGGGCAUUCGUAUUUCAUUGUCAGAGGUGAAAUUCUUGGAUUUAUGAAAGACGAACUUCUGCGAAAGCAUUUGUCAAGGAUGUUUUCAUUAA